rnacentral:tRNA from 1 species
GCGCCGGUGUUGUAAGGCGUAGCAUCACUGCCCUGAAAGCAGUAGGUGCGGGUUCGAGUCUCGCCUGGCACA